ensembl:lncRNA APPAT atherosclerotic plaque pathogenesis associated transcript
AGGGGUUGCAAUCUUAGUUUCUGACAAAACAGACUUUGAAUCAACAAAGAUAAAAAAAGACAAAGAAGAACAUCACAAUGAUAAAGGAAUCAAUUCAACAAGAAGAGCUAACUAUCCUAAAUAUGUAUGCACCCAAUACAGGAGAACCCAGAUUCACAAAACAAGUUCUUAGAGACCUACAAAGAGACUCAGGCUACCACACAACAAUAGUGGGAGACAUUAACACCCCAUUGUCAAUAUUGGAUCAUCUAGGCAGAAAAUUGACCAGAAAGGACUUGAACACAGCUCUGGAUCAAGUGAAUCUCAUAGAUAUCUACAGAACUCUCCAACACGAAACAACAGACUAUAUAUUAUUCUUAGUGGCAUAUGACACUCUAAAAUUGAUCACAAAAUUAGAAUUAAAACACUCCUCAGCAAAUGCAAAAUAACUGAAAUCAUAACAAUCUCUCAGACCACAGUGCAAUCAAAUUAGAACUCAAGAUUAAGAAACUCACUCAAAACCACACAACUACAUGGAUAUUGAACAACGUGCUCCUGAGUGACUUCUGGGUAAAUAAUAAAAUUAAGGCAGAAAUCAAGAAGCUCUUUGAAACCAAUGAGAACAAAGAGACAAUGUACCAGAAUCUCUGGGAGGCAACUAAAGCAGUGUUAAGAGGUGAUGGCAUCAGCUGAGAAGGGAAGGAAGCCCAUGAGAGGACACUGAAGAAGGAGUGAGCAGACAAUAAGAAGCCCACAGAAGACAGAGAAGGAACAACUAGAGGGAGAAGCCAAGGCAGGCGUGUGUGUUUCUCCACAGACACUACCCAAAGCAGUGCUUCACUACAGUGGCAGACAGACCUGAAAAUUUUCAUCUGAAGCAGCAGAGUGAACUGCAGAGGCAGGUCACCAACCAGUGUGGAGGCUAAAAGCGGGCCUCUUUGGGGAUUCCAGGUGGAAGUGUUGGACAUCUGUAGUAUUCCUGGUCUCGAAUCAUCCUGAUAUUCUUCAUUUUGUUAUUCACAUUGGACUAGGCAGGAACAAAGAUCACCACAACUGGCUCCCCUUCAACUAUGUUAGAUGGCAACUUGCCUUCAGUAUGGUGAAACACAUCAGUUAAGACCGGGGUUGUGCAUGGCAGGACUUUCUACAAGGACACCCAGUCUCCUUAAUAAACAUGAGAUGCUCUCUUUCCAGAAUUUCUCUUGCCUGACACAGCAUAGGAAGAUGCUGAACGGCCACACAGUGAUCCAUUGAGAUAGAAUCUCACUAUGUUGACCAGGCUGGUCUUGAACUCUUGGCACCCAAGCGAUCCUUUUGCCUGGAAUCCCAAAGUGUCAGAUUUACUGAAGAAUAUUUCAUUGUAAUUACUUUUUAUACUUUAUAGGUCAAGAGCUCUGUUUUAAAUACAAAAUUUAUUGAAUAUACUUUUUCAAACAAA